GACGAACGCUGGCGGCGUGCUUAACACAUGCAAGUCGAACGGAAAGGCCCUGCUUUUGUGGGGUGCUCGAUUGGCGAACGGGUGAGUAACACGUGAGUAACCUUCCCUUGACUUUGGGAUAACUUCAGGAAACUGGGGCUAAUACCGGAUAGGAGCUCCUGCUGCAUGGUGGGGGUUGGAAAGUUUCGGCGGUUGGGGAUGGACUGGCGGCUUAUCAGCUUGUUGGUGGGGUAGUGGCUUACCAAGGCUUUGACGGAUAGCCGGCCUGAGAGGGUGACCGGCCACAUUGGGACUGAGAUACGGACCAGACGCCUACGGGAGGCAGAAGUGGGGAAUAUGGCACAAUGGGCGGAAGCCGGAUGAAGCAACGCCGCGGGCGGGAUGACGGCCUUCGGGUUGUAAACCGCUUUCGCCUGUGACGAAGCGUGAGUGACGGUAAUGGGUAAAGAAGCACCGGCUAACUACGUG
rnacentral:rRNA from 1 species